AAUUGGAUCAAGAAGUCUAUAGUAUCACCGAUCCUGUCUGAUCUCGGAAGCUAAGCAGGGUUGGGCCUGGUUAGUACUUGGAUGGGAGACCACCUAGGAAGACCAGGUGCUGUAGGCA
rnacentral:rRNA from 1 species